AACGAACGCUGGCGGCAUGCCUAACACAUGCAAGUCGAACGAGAUCUUCGGGUCUAGUGGCGCACGGGUGCGUAACGCGUGGGAAUCUGCCCUUUGGUUCGGAAUAACAGUUGGAAACGACUGCUAAUACCGGAUGAUGGCGAAAGUCCAAAGAUUUAUCGCCAGAGGAUGAGCCCGCGUAGGAUUAGCUAGUUGGUGUGGUAAAGGCGCACCAAGGCGACGAUCCUUAGCUGGUCUGAGAGGAUGAUCAGCCACACUGGGACUGAGACACGGCCCAGACUCCUACGGGAGGCAGCAGUGGGGAAUAUUGGACAAUGGGCGAAAGCCUGAUCCAGCAAUGCCGCGUGAGUGAUGAAGGCCUCAGGGUUGUAAAGCUCUUUUACCCGGGAUGAUAAUGACAGUACCGGGAGAAUAAGCUCCGGCCAGCUCCGUGCCAGCCGCCGCCGUAA
rnacentral:rRNA from 1 species